UAUAGGUGCUCUUAUAUGAACAGAGAAGGGCCUUGGGAAGAAGUCCUUUGGAAGUCCAAGAGAGAUGUUCUAGAAUGGGCAGUUGGAAUUAAAAAUGUAGAUGUGUCUGCAGUUGCGUUCAUGAUUGGGUUGUAGUUUUUGUAUUCUUCAUUGCUUUGAAUUUCUUAGCAGCUUUCUUAACAGAGUAAAUCUAUUAUCCUUGAAAAAAAAAGGGAAGCAUAAUCAAAGGUACUGCUUGGCCUGCUGGUAAACACUACUGCCUUAGUGGUUGGGGUUUUGAGUUCUAAUCCCACCUAUCACCAAAUAUAUUUUUAUUUAAUGACGCAUCAACUUGGCUAGUGACUCGCAAGCGAGUUUCAUAGUAACUUGGCUCAUUUUUUGGCAGAGUUGAGUUGAUUUGGCCAAGUUUCGAGUCGAGUCACCAAAUUUUGAACUAUGUUGUGAACAGUUGGAGGGGGCCAUGGAACAGUUGGAUUGAUAUGUAUACAUGGAACAAGGCAAAUGGUGUAACAAUCCAAAUCUUUAGUCUGUUGGGGCUGAUGGUGGAGGGCCCAUGCCCAACACUGCUAGGUUCCAAGAUCCUUGGCACCCAUUUUGAACCCCUUUUUCAGUUGAAUGCUGACUGCUGUUUUAUCUCUCUCCUUGACCAUCUAUUUGCAGGUCAUGAAUUGAAACGUUAGGAUUGUCUUUUCAUUGAGAUUUUCAGGGCACGGUCUACUUUCACUUUUGGAGACAUGGUUUAAGAGGAGUUUUGUGUCUUUGAACACAAUGGUAGAACAGGAAAGGCAAAGCAUUUUGAUGGUGUCGGAUUUUUUCUACCCCAACUUUGGUGGUGUGGAGAAUCACAUCUACUAUCUAUCACAAUGCUUGCUUAAGCUUGGUCACAAGGUGAUAGUUAUGACGCACGCCUAUGGGAAACGUUCUGGAGUACGAUACAUGACUGGUGGUUUGAAAGUCUAUUAUGUACCGUGGAGGCCAUUCAUCAUGCAGAAUACAUUGCCAACCUUCUAUGGAACACUUCCGAUUAUACGAACAAUUCUAAUUCGGGAGAGAAUAUCAUUGGUGCACGGACACCAAGCUUUCUCCACUCUUUGUCAUGAAGCUUUAAUGCAUGCACGGACUAUGGGAUAUAAAGUUGUAUUCACCGAUCAUUCACUCUAUGGUUUUGCUGACAUUGGAAGCAUCCACAUGAAUAAGGUGCUGCAAUUUACUCUAGCGGAUGUGAAUCAAGCAAUAUGUGUUUCUCAUACAAGCAAGGAGAACACGGUCCUCCGGUCAGGGUUACCUCCAGAAAAGGUCUUCGUAAUACCAAACGCUGUGGACACUGCUAUGUUUAAGCCUGCUCCGAAGCGAGUUAGCUAUGAUGAAAUUGUUAUAGUUGUGAUAAGUAGAUUGGUUUACCGUAAGGGUGCAGAUCUACUGGUUGAAGUCAUUCCUGAAGUGUGCCGCUUGUUCUCCAAUGUACGUUUCAUUGUUGGAGGAGAUGGUCCAAAACGAGUGCGAUUGGAAGAGAUGAGGGAAAAACACUCCCUUCAAGACAGGGUUGAAAUGUUGGGGGCUGUUCCACAUGCUCAAGUGCGAUCUGUCUUAAUUUCUGGCCAUAUAUUUUUGAACAGUUCUCUUACAGAAGCAUUUUGUAUAGCCAUAUUGGAGGCUGCCAGUUGUGGAUUGCUUACUGUCAGUACACGAGUUGGAGGUGUCCCGGAGGUUCUACCAGAUGACAUGAUUGUACUUGCUGAGCCUGUGCCAAGUGAUAUGGUACAAGCAAUCAAGAAAGCGAUACACAUACUUCCGACAGUUGACCCCCAUGUUAUGCACCUUCGUAUGAAAAACCUGUAUAGUUGGCAUGAUGUGGCCAAAAGAACAGAGAUUGUGUAUGACCGUGCAUUGAGAUGCUCAAAUGAGAAUCUUCUAGAGCGCCUUUCACGGUAUCUCACAUGCGGUGCUUGGGCAGGCAAGCUUUUUUGCAUAGUGAUGAUCUUGGAUUUCUUGCUAUGGCAUCUUUUACAACUAUGGCAGCCUUCGGAGGAUAUUGAGGAGGUACCAGAUUUUGUGUUUCCUCAGCAUCAACAUGAAGAGAUGUUUCAGAAUUUCGGUCUUGCAGUGAUGGCUUUGCUUGGUGAAUGGUUGUGCAUAAGACGUGAAUUGCGAGAUAUUCCUAUGACACGAUUUUGUUCAGGGUAGAGAUUCUGGUGAUGGGGAAUGCAUUCCAAUGAAGGGGAUUGGAUUCCAGUGAAAUCAAGGACUCAGGCUGGGAGGAAGGAAGGUCCAUUCAUUGCUUUCGUUGUGGGCUUCUGUCUGUGAUGGAGAGCCAAUGUAGUCAUGCUAUUUGAAGGUUAUGAGAAGAUUAUGGAGACAGUCGUUCCAAGAAACAGAGAUACCAGCAAGCUUAGAAGGUUUGCUUUUUUUAGAUCUAUGUAUCUUGACAAUGCUCAAAAGGCAUUUAGAGGUUGGAGGCGAGAAGGUUGGAGGAUGGUCACGACUCACUCAUGGUGAACUUAGCAAAAUAUGGUAAGGAUGAAGGUAAACAUGAAGGGGCUCUCGGUUGUUUUGGAUUGAUGGAUGGUUGCUUGAAGGAAUCUGUUACCAUCAUCUAGCAAUGCUAUUUCCAAGCCUUGUCUACCCAUCACGGCAAUUUCCAGGUUGGAAUUAUCAUCGUUUUAGCAGGGAAUUCGUCCUUUUUGGCCAGUGCCAUGGUCCAAGAAAGUGAAGAUGAAGUGGGUUGAAAGGCAGGUAGUAUCGGUUCAAUUUAAGAAGGCUGCUAUGUAGGGGGAGAAGAAUCUUAGGAAGAAAGUGGAGGAAGCCUCAGUGAUGACAAACGACAUUGGAGAGAGAUUGUUAAGCGAAAUUAGCAUCUUGCUUGGGCUGUGGUUCCAAGGGGAUAAAAAGGAGAUGGGCAGCUUGUUUCUGGAACUGGAUGAACAAGAUGAAAUUCAACAAGGUGAGUUGGAGCUUGCAACAGCGGAAAAGAAAGGCAGCUGGCGCAAUCAGAUUUUCUUACAAAAAACUGGGAGCAGCCACAUCGAUAACUCCAUGUGAAAGUUUGUGGAGUUUGUUGCAUCAGUAAUUUGAUCAAUCUGCCUUUAUGUGGGGACUUGUAUACUUAGGUCUUAUAAUCUAGAUACUAUCCUGUGUAAGCUGGACAAUAUUUUUCAUAACGGUGGGCUUGGAAAGAAACUUCUAGGGGUGGUGCAAUUGGUGCUUCCAAGGCCUGCUUCUGACCAUGUUCUCAUAUGCUUGGAGUCAUCAGGUGUUUGACCAGAGAAACUUGAUUGUUUUUGUCAUGGCUGACCUUCGCUUCUCCUUGGGGUCAUGAGAUAGCCCAAGUCAAUCUGCUGAUUAUAAUGGUCAUUACUAAAGCUUUAAUCAGACCUGAUUCCAUUGCCAUUGUCUGUGGAAAACUAUGACAGUUGUGGAGGAGUCUAGAUGAUCAAGAGCAGGACCCGUCUCAAAGGGGUGUUUGAUUUAUGGUUGCAGAGGGGAAUCAUCGCACGUGUGACAUGGUAUUCUAGCUUUCCUGAGGUUUUUGUUCUUUUUUUAGAAGGCUUAAAAGGCUGGUUGUAGCUUCCAAUUCCACAGAUUCAAUCACAACCAAUAUUGAUAUUAGAUUUGGCUGUUUCUAUUCAUGUCCAUUUAUAUGAUAAACAUGCAAAAGGCUUUUUAUUUUUAAUUAAUUUUUUGUUUUUUA